rnacentral:misc_RNA from 1 species
GAAAUGCGAUAAGUAGUGUGAAUUGCAGAAUUCAGUGAAUCAUCGAAUCUUUGAACGCACAUUGCGCCCCCUGGCAUUCCGGGGGGCAUACCUGUUCGAGCGUCAUCGCACCCCUCAAGCGCUGCUUGGUGUUGGGCGUCUUGUCCCCCCGUUGCGGGGGACUCGCCCCAAAGACAUCGGCGGCUUGCACGGCGUCCGUGGCCCACAGCACAACGUGGUUGCCCGCAGACGCGCCCGCAAGCGUGCCGCAACCGACGCCCCCUUUUCGUGGCUCCUGGAUGGACCUCGGAUCAGGUAGGAAUACCCGCUGAACUUAA